UACGUAGGGGCCUAGCGUUGUCCGGAUUUAUUGGGCGUAAAGAGCUCGUAGGCGGUUCGGUAAGUCAGGUGUGAAAUCUCCACGCUCAACGUGGAGGCGCCACCUGAAACUGCCGUGACUCGAGUCCGGUAGGGGAGUGUGGAAUUCCCGGUGUAGCGGUGAAAUGCGCAGAUAUCGGGAGGAACACCAGUGGCGAAGGCGGCUUUCUGGUCUGCUCUUGACGCUGAGGCGCGAAAGCUAGGGUAGCAAACGGG
rnacentral:rRNA from 1 species